UACAGAGGCCUCGAGCGUUAGGCGGAAUCACUGGGCUUAAAGCGUGUGUAGGCGGACUUCUAAGUACCUUGUGAAAUCCCACGGCUUACCCGUGGAACUGCUGGGUAUACUGGUUGUCUUGAGCCACUUAGGGGCUAUCGGAACAAAUGGUGGAGCGGUGAAAUGCGUAGAUAUCAUUUGGAACGCCAAUGGUGAAAACAGGUAGCUGGGAGUGUGCUGACGCUGAGACACGAAAGCCAGGGGAGCGAACGGG
rnacentral:rRNA from 1 species